rnacentral:lncRNA from 1 species
AAAACCCAGGAACUGUCUGACCCGCCAUAAAACACUGUUGUCCUCACAACAUUUACCUCCGUUCAGACGACCAAACUGUAUUUCCUUCCACCUGCGACUGGUUCCUUUUCCUCCGGGAGGGAAAAAACGGGGGGCUUAGAAUAAAGAGAGAAUUCCUGAUCAGUGUUGAAUUAAUCCGUCUAUAAUUAAAGAUAUGAUUCGCUCUAAUCCUGCAGCCUUUUCAUCGCCGCGAUUAACAAAACGCAAAGAAACAGCAGGUAUAAUACCAGCAGGAUGUAAAGCAACCAGGUGGUUUAAUACCAGCAGCAUUAACAGGAUGUAAAGUAACCAGGUGGUAUAAUACCAGCAGCAUUAACAGGAUGUAAAGCAACCAGGUGGUUUAAUACCAGCAGCAUUAACAGGAUGUAAAGCAACCAG